GAUGAAGAACGCAGCAAAAUGCGAUAAGUAAUGUGAAUUGCAGAAUUCAGUGAAUCAUCGAAUCUUUGAACGCACAUUGCGCCCGCCAGUAUUCUGGCGGGCAUGCCUGUUCGAGCGUCAUUUCAACCCUCAAGCACAGCUUGGUGUUGGGACUCGCGUUAAUUCGCGUUCCCCAAAUUGAUUGGCGGUCACGUCGAGCUUCCAUAGCGUAGUAGUAAAACCCUCGUUACUGGUAAUCGUCGCGGCCACACCGUUAAACCCCAACUUCUGAAUGUUGACCUCGGAUCAGGUAGGAAUACCCGCUGAACUUAAGCAUAUCAAUAAGCGGAGGA
rnacentral:misc_RNA from 1 species